rnacentral:rRNA from 1 species
GGUGAACGCUGGCGGUAGGCCUAACACAUGCAAGUCGAACGGCAGCACAGUAAGAGCUUGCUCUUACGGGUGGCGAGUGGCGGGUGGGUGAGGAAUACAUCGGAAUCUUCUUUUUCGUGGGGGAUAACGUAGGGAAACUUACGCUAAUACCGCAUACGAUCUACGGGUGAAAGCAGGGGAUCUUCGGACCUUGCGUGAUUGAAUGAGCCGAUGUCGGAUUAGCUAGUUGGCGGGGUAAAGGCCCACCAAGGCGACGAUCCGUAGCUGGUCUGAGAGGAUGAUCAGCCACACUGGAACUGAGACACGGUCCAGACUCCUACGGGAGGCAGCAGUGGGGAAUAUUGGGCAAUGGGCGCAAGCCUGAUCCAGCCAUACUGCGUGGGUGAAGAAGGCCUUCGGGUUGUAAAGCCGUUUUGUUGGGAAAGAAAAGCAGCAGGUUAAUACCCCGCUGUUCUGACGGUACCCAAAGAAUAAGCACCGGCUAACUUCGUG